rnacentral:rRNA from 1 species
GGAUAUAUCGGCUCUCGCAUCGAUGAAGAACGUAGCAGAAUGCGAUACCUGGUGUGAAUUGCAGAAUCCCGCGAACCAUUGAGUCUUUGAACGCAAGUUGCGCCCCAGGCCUUUUGGCCGAAGGCACGCCUGCCUGGGGGUCACGCCAAACACGCUCCCACCCC